rnacentral:rRNA from 1 species
UACCCUUGACAUGUACGGAAUCCUGCUGAGAGGUGGGAGUGCCCGAAAGGGAGCCGUAACACAGGUGCUGCAUGGCUGUCGUCAGCUCGUGUCGUGAGAUGUUGGGUUAAGUCCCGCAACGAGCGCAACCCUUGUCCCUAGUUGCUACGCAAGAGCACUCUAGGGAGACUGCCGGUGACAAACCGGAGGAAGGUGGGGAUGACGUCAAGUCCUCAUGGCCCUUAUGGGUAGGGCUUCACACGUCAUACAAUGGUCGGAACAGAGGGUUGCCAAGCCGCGAGGUGGAGCCAAUCCCAGAAAACCGAUCGUAGUCCGGAUCGCAGUCUGCAACUCGACUGCGUGAAGCUGGAAUCGCUAGUAAUCGC